rnacentral:misc_RNA from 1 species
UCACCAGCUCUAACCCUAAAUGAAAGUGACUGACCAAACAAAACUGAAUUUGUUUGCCAAUUUUGCCCCCAGUUCCUGCUCAUACUUAUCCAAUUAGUUUUUGAACCUUUAAUACUAAGACUCACAAUAUCCCCUGCACCCGCCACGUUCGUUACCAAAACCAAGUUGAAGUAACGGAAACCGUUAAUUGUGAACCUUAUUCCACCUUGCUUCCUGCAUGGCACCCGGCG